rnacentral:rRNA from 1 species
UCGGGAAUAUUGCGCAAUGGAGGAAACUCUGACGCAGUGACGCCGCGUAUAGGAAGAAGGUUUUCGGAUUGUAAACUAUUGUCGUUAGGGAAGAAAAAGACAGUACCUAAGGAGGAAGCUCCGGCUAACUACGUGCCAGCAGCCGCGGUAAUACGUAGGGAGCAAGCGUUAUCCGGAUUUAUUGGGUGUAAAGGGUGCGUAGACGGGCGAUCAAGUUAGUUGUGAAAUCCCUCGGCUCAACUGAGGAACUGCAACUAAAACUGGUUGUCUUGAGUGCAGGAGAGGUAAGUGGAAUUCCUAGUGUAGCGGUGAAAAUGCGUAGAUAUUAGGAGGAACACCAGUGGCGAAGGCGACUUACUGGACUGUAACUGACGUUGAGGCACGAAAGUGUGGGGAGCAAACAGGAUUAGAUACCC